rnacentral:lncRNA from 1 species
UGAAUUGGUACUCAAAAGAAUUCUUCCUCCCAACACAGAUCACAGGGGCAAAUGGACACCGAACAACGAGGGUCCAUACGUGGUUAAAAGAGUUUUCUCUGGCAGAGCUCUGAUGCUAAUAACCAUGGAAUGGCAAAGACUUCCCGUCCCCUGUCAACUCAGACGUAGUUAAAAAAUACUUCGCAUAAAUUGACCCGCUGGACAAGCAAAAAGAAUGGUCCAGGAAAAAAAGGGGCAUCCCGACGAACCAAAAAAAAAGGGAAUGAAGAGGUUCGGGCAAAAAU